GCCUACGACCAUACCACUCUGAAUACGCCCGAUCUCGGAAGCUAAGCAGGUGCGGGCCCGGUUACCAGGUGAGUACCUGGAUGGGAGACUGCCUGGGAACACCGGGUGUUGUACGCU
rnacentral:rRNA from 1 species